ACCAAGGAGUUUAUCGUGUGCGCGAGUCAUUGGGCGUUGAAAACCCAAAGGCGCAAUGAAAGUGAACGUUUCCAUAUCGGAGCCGACGUGCGAUCCUGGUCACCGCGGUGGCCAGGCGCAGCAUGGCCCCAUCCCGACUGCUUGCAGUGGGGUGGAGGAAGAGCGUACGCGAUGAGACCCGAAAGAUGGUGAACUAUUCCUGAGCAGGACGAAGCCAGAGGAAACUCUGGUGGAAGUCCGAAGCGAUUCUGACGUGCAAAUCGAUCGUCUGACUUGGG
rnacentral:rRNA from 1 species